UACUAAUUAAUCUUUAAAGAAAAAAAGGAAAAAUGAGUUGUAGUUCCAAGACAUUUCUGUUGGUUUGCCUUUCUUUGGCUAUUUUUCCAAUAAUAAUAUCCUUACAGGUUGCUGCAUUUCCAUUUUCAAUUCCAGAAAUCCCUGUGAACGUUAUACCUAAGGCGGCUAAUGAAGACAAAACUGAGGCUGCCAAGAAGCAUCUUUGAAAAUUUUGUGCAUCAUUGAGGAACAGAACUAUGCAGCUGCUUCUGGUAAAAAUGUGGUGCAGCCUCCGUUAGCCAAGAAGGAUCGAUAGUAAUGACAUUUCGCAUGUACUGACGAUCAGUUGAAACAAGAGAAUGGUACACAAUAAACUUUGGGUUGACCCUGUUAAAUUCGAGAGAACACAUUAUAAACUUUAAGAUGUAACAGAACAUAGGAAAAUAGGCAAUGCUAAUCAAAAUCCGUGAUGUCCCCUGAAUGAAUAUGUAGUCACGAGGGGAGUGCAGCUAUGUUCUCCUUGGAAAUAUGUCAGUGUCCACGCAUACAGGCACAUAUAGAAGGAAAGAUGACGACAAGAAGGAACCAAUUCUAGACCAAACCAUGCAACAAUUUGAGACAUUGACUGCUUUUUAAUUAUGUAUUUGACUCAGCGAACAUGGAUCUUCUUAGCCCACCCGGCUUUUGAUCCACUGUUAAGGAAGCAUCACGUGAUGUUUCGGUUAGGCACAUCUCAAGGAUUUGAACACUGAUGCAGCCAAAGACUGAUAGUUAAGUUGGGAAAAGUGUAGAGAAGUUGGGCCUAGGCUCUUUGGAAUUCGAACCUAUGAGCCAAUUCAUGAUAUUUCUCCGAUAUCAGAAAAAGUAUACCGUUGCUUAAUGAGCAAUUGAGCAACAAUAUAACUUCCUUGUUUUAUAACAAAUAAGGAAAAGUACUUUUACAUCUGUGUAAUAUCAGCAAACAAAUCAAGUUUUGACAAAAAUGUAAUAUGGAAGUACCUGAACAGCACAGAUGAAGGAUGAAUAUAAACUUCUUGAGAAGUUCUGACAGUCUUGUACAUCCCAUUGUGACUGAAUGGCUGUUUCAAAGACAAGCAAUAGACGUUAUCAAAUAUGUUCAUAUCAGAAAAACUGAAGGCCAGCAAGACAAUAGAAAUGGAAAGAGAGUGUGCCUUUAAGGCAAAACAAUUAUGAGACUUGUACUAAAUUUCAUACUCACUUCUAAACGGGCAGCAUUGGCAAAAAACCCUGCCGUAA